ensembl:lncRNA novel transcript, antisense to ATP8B4
AGUAAUGCUGAUAACCACAGUGAGCACCAAAGCCAAAUGCCAAAAACCAAAAAGGAUGGCAAGAAUCAACCACAGGGGACAUCAGAGGACCACAGGUGGAGGAGAAGAGGCGAAAGUGGAAGCAACACAGGAUUACUCUGGAUGCUAUGCUGAGAAGAAACUGAAGACAAUGGUGGAAGUGGGAAAGCUUAUGACUCAGAAUAACUAUUUCUAAUAACAAAUUUUAAGUUCUCUUCAUGCAGAGCAGCUGACACAAAUCUUCAACUCAUUGAUGAUGGCAUCUGACUGUUCCAGGUAUUAAGAAGAGAGAAAGAAUCUGAGAAAUUAUGGCGUACUCAACUGUGGACAGCUGAAAGUCUGGCAUAGCGUGCCCUCAUCAUCACAAAUGGGCUCGCAUUACAAGCUACACUUAUUUGACAACUAUCAGCAUUUGUCAACCGGCACUCAGAUUUGAAGACUCAUUUCACAGCUGGAGCAAGAGAAGACAGGAAGGAAAAAUCAGAGUAAGGUUUCAAUGAGUUUCUGCAAAUUCUCAGAAGUUUUGCUGCCACUCAGUGUCACAAUAACAAAAAGAAAUAAAAAUAGCUGAUAUUUACUAAA